rnacentral:rRNA from 1 species
CAGUAGCGUAUAUUAAAGUUGUUGCGGUUAAAAAGCUCGUAGUUGGAUUUCUGCCGAGGACGACCGGUCCGCCCUCUGGGUGAGUAUCUGGCUCGGCCUGGGCAUCUUCUUGGAGAACGUAGCUGCACUUGACUGUGUGGUGCGGUAUCCAGGACUUUUACUUUGAGGAAAUUAGAGUGUUUCAAGCAGGCUUACGCCUUGAAUACAUUAGCAUGGAAUAAUAAGAUAGGACCUCGGUUCUAUUUUGUUGGUUUCUAGAGCUGAGGUAAUGAUUAAUGGGGAUAGUUGGGGGUAUUUAUAUUCCGAUGUCAGAGGUGAAAUUCUUAGAUUUUCGGAAGAUAAACUUAUGCGAAAGCAUUUACCAAGGAUGUUUUCAUUAA